GAUCAUUACAGUAUUUCAUAUACAAACGAGGCGCCCUCCGUCCUGCGGUCCCACACGGCCGCUGGACGCUGGCCACCUUUUAAACCCUUUGUGAACCCUCCUUACUUAUGCCUCGGCAGCCUGGCCUCCGCRCACCGCGGGCCGGCUCUGUAAGCCUGCCGGGCCCAAUUACAAAACUUGUUUUUAAAAUUACGUCUGAGCCAUUCUGAACUGAAUGAAAAUUAAAACUUUCAACAACGGAUCUCUUGGUUCUCGCAUCGAUGAAGAACGCAGCGAAACGCGAUAGUUAAUGUGAAUUGCAGAAUUCAGUGAAUCAUCGAGUCUUUGAACGCACAUUGCGCCCGUUGGUAUUCCGACGGGCACGUCUGUUUGAGCGUCAUGUCAUAACUCAACCGCCAGGUUGGUCAUGGGCCCGGGCAUCCUCAACGGGAGCCCGGCCUUAAAGUGGCAGCUCUGCGGGCCCGCCCCUCCCCGAACAUAGUAUGCAAAAGCUUGCUCGAGGGAGACGGCGCGGCCACCGCGUGAACAAACUUCUUAACCAAAGGUUUGACNUCAGAUCAGAUGAGG
rnacentral:rRNA from 1 species